rnacentral:lncRNA from 1 species
CCUCCUCGGUUUUUGCCUCCGAUGAGGCCCUUCCCGGCCUCCGUUUAAUGCAAUUUUUAUAUCACCGUGAUCACCAUUCUUUUCUCUACAGGUUGAUCGGAGCCGAAUCACCAAAACACGAACUUCACCAGAGAGCCGCCGCACCUGAGAGCACCGCCGCCGGUAAGCUUCGGUUUUCCGUAAUUUUUUGGCCCCCCGAGGGCCCUAGAGUUGUUUAAUCGCAAGGAUCGAUGCAAGUGU